rnacentral:rRNA from 1 species
GGGUUGUGAGGUUAAGCGACUAAGCGUACACGGUGGAUGCCCUGGCAGUCAGAGGCGAUGAAGGACGUGCUAAUCUGCGAUAAGCGUCGGUAAGGUGAUAUGAACCGUUAUAACCGGCGAUUUCCGAAUGGGGAAACCCAGUGUGUUUCGACACACUAUCAUUAACUGAAUCCAUAGGUUAAUGAGGCGAACCGGGGGAACUGAAACAUCUAAGUACCCCGAGGAAAAGAAAUCAACCGAGAUUCCCCCAGUAGCGGCGAGCGAACGGGGAGCAGCCCAGAGCCUGAAUCAGUGUGUGUGUUAGUGGAAGCGUCUGGAAAGGCGCGCGAUACAGGGUGACAGCCCCGUACACAAAAAUGCACAUGCUGUGAGCUCGAUGAGUAGGGCGGGACACGUGGUAUCCUGUCUGAAUAUGGGGGGACCAUCCUCCAAGGCUAAAUACUCCUGACUGACCGAUAGUGAACCAGUACCGUGAGGGAAAGGCGAAAAGAACCCCGGCGAGGGGAGUGAAAAAGAACCUGAAACCGUGUACGUACAAGCAGUGGGAGCCUCUUUAUGGGGUGACUGCGUACCUUUUGUAUAAUGGGUCAGCGACUUAUAUUCUGUAGCAAGGUUAACCGAAUAGGGGAGCCGAAGGGAAACCGAGUCUUAACUGGGCGUUAAGUUGCAGGGUAUAGACCCGAAACCCGGUGAUCUAGCCAUGGGCAGGUUGAAGGUUGGGUAACACUAACUGGAGGACCGAACCGACUAAUGUUGAAAAAUUAGCGGAUGACUUGUGGCUGGGGGUGAAAGGCCAAUCAAACCGGGAGAUAGCUGGUUCUCCCCGAAAGCUAUUUAGGUAGCGCCUCGUGAAUUCAUCUCCGGGGGUAGAGCACUGUUUCGGCAAGGGGGUCAUCCCGACUUACCAACCCGAUGCAAACUGCGAAUACCGGAGAAUGUUAUCACGGGAGACACACGGCGGGUGCUAACGUCCGUCGUGAAGAGGGAAACAACCCAGACCGCCAGCUAAGGUCCCAAAGUCAUGGUUAAGUGGGAAACGAUGUGGGAAGGCCCAGACAGCCAGGAUGUUGGCUUAGAAGCAGCCAUCAUUUAAAGAAAGCGUAAUAGCUCACUGGUCGAGUCGGCCUGCGCGGAAGAUGUAACGGGGCUAAACCAUGCACCGAAGCUGCGGCAGCGACGCUUAUGCGUUGUUGGGUAGGGGAGCGUUCUGUAAGCCUGUGAAGGUGUGCUGUGAGGCAUGCUGGAGGUAUCAGAAGUGCGAAUGCUGACAUAAGUAACGAUAAAGCGGGUGAAAAGCCCGCUCGCCGGAAGACCAAGGGUUCCUGUCCAACGUUAAUCGGGGCAGGGUGAGUCGACCCCUAAGGCGAGGCCGAAAGGCGUAGUCGAUGGGAAACAGGUUAAUAUUCCUGUACUUGGUGUUACUGCGAAGGGGGGACGGAGAAGGCUAUGUUGGCCGGGCGACGGUUGUCCCGGUUUAAGCGUGUAGGCUGGUUUUCCAGGCAAAUCCGGAAAAUCAAGGCUGAGGCGUGAUGACGAGGCACUACGGUGCUGAAGCAACAAAUGCCCUGCUUCCAGGAAAAGCCUCUAAGCAUCAGGUAACAUCAAAUCGUACCCCAAACCGACACAGGUGGUCAGGUAGAGAAUACCAAGGCGCUUGAGAGAACUCGGGUGAAGGAACUAGGCAAAAUGGUGCCGUAACUUCGGGAGAAGGCACGCUGAUAUGUAGGUGAAGCGACUUGCUCGUGGAGCUGAAAUCAGUCGAAGAUACCAGCUGGCUGCAACUGUUUAUUAAAAACACAGCACUGUGCAAACACGAAAGUGGACGUAUACGGUGUGACGCCUGCCCGGUGCCGGAAGGUUAAUUGAUGGGGUUAGCGGUAACGCGAAGCUCUUGAUCGAAGCCCCGGUAAACGGCGGCCGUAACUAUAACGGUCCUAAGGUAGCGAAAUUCCUUGUCGGGUAAGUUCCGACCUGCACGAAUGGCGUAAUGAUGGCCAGGCUGUCUCCACCCGAGACUCAGUGAAAUUGAACUCGCUGUGAAGAUGCAGUGUACCCGCGGCAAGACGGAAAGACCCCGUGAACCUUUACUAUAGCUUGACACUGAACAUUGAGCCUUGAUGUGUAGGAUAGGUGGGAGGCUUUGAAGUGUGGACGCCAGUCUGCAUGGAGCCGACCUUGAAAUACCACCCUUUAAUGUUUGAUGUUCUAACGUUGACCCGUAAUCCGGGUUGCGGACAGUGUCUGGUGGGUAGUUUGACUGGGGCGGUCUCCUCCUAAAGAGUAACGGAGGAGCACGAAGGUUGGCUAAUCCUGGUCGGACAUCAGGAGGUUAGUGCAAUGGCAUAAGCCAGCUUGACUGCGAGCGUGACGGCGCGAGCAGGUGCGAAAGCAGGUCAUAGUGAUCCGGUGGUUCUGAAUGGAAGGGCCAUCGCUCAACGGAUAAAAGGUACUCCGGGGAUAACAGGCUGAUACCGCCCAAGAGUUCAUAUCGACGGCGGUGUUUGGCACCUCGAUGUCGGCUCAUCACAUCCUGGGGCUGAAGUAGGUCCCAAGGGUAUGGCUGUUCGCCAUUUAAAGUGGUACGCGAGCUGGGUUUAGAACGUCGUGAGACAGUUCGGUCCCUAUCUGCCGUGGGCGCUGGAGAACUGAGGGGGGCUGCUCCUAGUACGAGAGGACCGGAGUGGACGCAUCACUGGUGUUCGGGUUGUCAUGCCAAUGGCACUGCCCGGUAGCUAAAUGCGGAAGAGAUAAGUGCUGAAAGCAUCUAAGCACGAAACUUGCCCCGAGAUGAGUUCUCCCUGACUCCUUGAGAGUCCUGAAGGAACGUUGAAGACGACGACGUUGAUAGGCCGGGUGUGUAAGCGCAGCGAUGCGUUGAGCUAACCGGUACUAAUGAACCGUGAGGCUUAACCUUACAACGCCGAAGCUGUU